CAGCCGCCACGGUAAAACGUAGGUGGCAAGCGUUGUCCGGAAUUAUUGGGCGUAAAGGGCUCGCAGGCGGUUUCUUAAGUCUGAUGUGAAAGCCCCCGGCUCAACCGGGGAGGGUCAUUGGAAACUGGGAAACUUGAGUGCAGAAGAGGAGAGUGGAAUUCCACGUGUAGCGGUGAAAUGCGUAGAGAUGUGGAGGAACACCAGUGGCGAAGGCGACUCUCUGGUCUGUAACUGACGCUGAGGAGCGAAAGCGCGGGGAGCGAACAGGAUUAGAUACCCCAGUAGUCCCUGUCUCUUAUAC
rnacentral:rRNA from 1 species